AUACGAAGGGUGCAAGCGUUAAUCGGAAUUACUGGGCGUAAAGCGCGCGUAGGCGGUUUGUUAAGUCAGAUGUGAAAGCCCCAGGCUCAACCUGGGAACUGCAUUUGAAACUGGCAGGCUAGAGUGUGGUAGAGGGAAGUGGAAUUUCAGGUGUAGCGGUGAAAUGCGUAGAUAUCUGAAGGAACAUCAGUGGCGAAGGCGACUUCCUGGACCAACACUGACGCUGAGGUGCGAAAGCGUGGGUAGCAAACGGGAUUAGAUACCCCAGUAGUCC
rnacentral:rRNA from 1 species